UUGAAGGCCAAUACAGAGACAGUGAAAUUCUUUUAUGCCAGGAAAAAUAAAAUGCUGGGUAUCACAUGGAAUUUCAUAACCUGAUUUCAAAAGGAUUAUACAAAGAGGAAAUAAAACUUAGCACUGUGAACUGCUGCGCAGGAUAUAUUUGUCAACAGAAUUUUUCCAUGAUAUCAUUAACAGCAACAUGAAAAAAAAAGAUUAUUGUUGACUUGAAGCCUGAAAUUCUUUGUCCUCAGACUGUGAAUCAUAGUUUCUUCAUUUUGUCAGAUGAACUUCCAAAGGCUACCUUUUUUACUUCUCACUUAGAGAAAAAUGAACAGGCGGAAUUGCUGGAUUUGUAAGACGUGCAGAGAUGAAUCCAAGAGGCCCCCUUCAAACCUUACUUUGGAGGAAGCGUCGCAGUGGGCCCAGUCUUUUGAAAAGCUGAUGGCUACAAAAUACACACCUCUUCUGAUGGAAGACUGCAACAUAGCUCACCUGUAGGAUUUAAUGGUGUGAGUCUUGCCGCCUUGCAGAAAGCAGUCCUGGAAAGAUGCACCACUGUUUUGACUCAUCCAAGAGGAAUGUCACAUUUCCCUCCUGCAUCAAGAGACCAGCAUGUAAAUGCUUCCUUAAAGGGAUCUGUCUCUAUCUGAGUUUUCUCUUUUUAAUAAAAUGCCUUUCUAUCUCUUUUUUGGUAUCACCGCUGACAGAGCCAGCAGAAGCCAAGGAGUCAAGGAGACUGGCUUUUUAGUGCUAGAAAUUCAAUCUAAUCUCUUAUGUAAAGAGCUAAGAAAAUAUGGUUUUACUCACCAUUGUCAUUCCAUCUGAUUACCAUUUCUUGUAAGAGUUAAUAAU